GCUUCAGGUAUUGGCGUUACUGCCAAAGAGAAAAAGAUUCUGCUUUUCAUCAGCUGCUUGCUCCAGUGGUCUGUGUGUCUCCGACACCUACUGCUGAUGGCCCUGUCGGGCGGAUCCUGCAGUGGAGGGUGAACAGCAGCCCAGGGUCUUCCUCCCCAUUCCAGGCUGGGCGGCGAGCAGCCUUACAAUGCCGGGAUGCUCCAGCUCAGAAAUGAAGAGUAAUCCUUGAUGCUUCUUUCUCUUGUCACACCUCUAUGGGACCACUUGCAAUCAAGUCCUGUUACUCUCCUUCAAAAACAUGUCCUGAUAGCAAUCUCCUUCCAUCCGCAUGAGUACCUCUCACCCGGACAACUGUAUUGGGAGUCACAAAACGGACCGUGAAGUCCUUGACCAUAGGCACUCAGUUACCGUCUAAAGGUAGAAAACCUCAGAGAACGUACUUCAUGCUCUGGGUGAGAGGAUGCAGUCAGCAAGUACAUCUGAAUUCUGAAUUUUCAGUGCCACUUGGUGACCUGAUAAACAGGAAUUUUGUGUUACUAUGAACUGAGCAGCAUUUCAGCAUUUGACUGUUGUAUCGUCGUUUCUAUCAAAGUAAAAGUCACUAACUUGCUACAGUGAACAAGGCUUUGGAUCAUCUUGUUCCCUGACUCUUCCCUGAUCUCAAGUCCAAUCAAGUCCCCCUCUUCCAUGAUAAUCCUCCAAGAUGCCAGGCAAACGUGCUUCUCCUGCCUCAGGGCCUUUGCCAGAAAACUCUUCCACCAAGUGUCACCCAGGGCUCUGGGACUUCCCUGGUGGGCCAGGGGCUAAGACUCUGUUCCCAUUGCAUGGGGCCUGGAUUCAAUCCCUGGUCAUGGAACUAGAUCCCAUAUGCUGCAACUUAGAGUUGUGGCUCCUGCAUACUGCACUGAAG
ensembl:lncRNA